rnacentral:rRNA from 1 species
AUUGAACGCUGGCGGCAGGCCUAACACAUGCAAGUCGAGCGGCAGCGGGACCUUCGGGUUGCCGGCGAGCGGCGGACGGGUGAGUAAUGCCUAGGAAUCUGCCUGUUAGUGGGGGAUAACGCGGGGAAACUCGCGCUAAUAACGCAUACGUCCUACGGGAGAAAGUGGGGGACCUUCGGGCCUCACGCCAACAGCUGAGCCCAGGUCGGAUUAGCUAGUUGGUGGGGUAACGGCCCACCAAGGCGACGAUCCGUAACUGGUCUGAGAGGAUGGUCAGUCACACUGGAACUGAGACACGGUCCAGACUCCUACGGGAGGCAGCAGUGGGGAAUAUUGGACAAUGGGCGAAAGCCUGAUCCAGCCAUGCCGCGUGUGUGAAGAAGGUCUUCGGAUUGUAAAGCACUUUAAGUUAGGAGGAAGGGCGCUCGGUGAAUACCCAAGCGUCUUGACGUUACCGACAGAAUAAGCACCGGCUAACUUCGUGCCAGCCGCCGCGGUAAGAC